rnacentral:lncRNA from 1 species
CUUGGAAAAAAUUUUCCCUGAGCUCCAAAUCAGUAUAUUUGUACCAUAAUUCUAGAUGGAGACAGAAUGGCAGGAUGGAUGGAGAUUUACAAAAGGUGGCUUUUCCUUCUGACACUUUUGUCUUUGCUUGAGUGCCCCCCUUCCUGCCACCUGCCAGGAUCAGGUUGGACAAGAAGAGAGGGAACAGCAGCCUGGCAGAUGCUGCCACGUGUUAUAGGUCACCAUCUGCCAAAUACAGUGUUUCUAAGAAGUUGUUUCUGUGCCUCUUCUGGAAAGAAUUUGUCCUUCAGUAUAUGUGAUUGCUACAUGUUGAUAAAAGCAAGAGAAAAACAAUAAAAC